rnacentral:rRNA from 1 species
UACGGGGGGGCAAGCGUUGUUCGGAAUUACUGGGCGUAAAGGGCUCGUAGGUGGCCAACUAAGUCAGACGUGAAAUCCCUCGGCUUAACCGGGGAACUGCGUCUGAUACUGGAUGGCUUGAGUUUGGGAGAGGGAUGCGGAAUUCCAGGUGGUAGCGGUGAAAUGCGGUAGAUAUCUGGAGGAACACCGGUGGCGAAGGCGGCGUGCCUAGGGAC